rnacentral:rRNA from 1 species
GUGAAAUUCCGUCGGAAUCUGGGAGGACCAUCUCCUAAGGCUAAAUACUCUCUAGUGACCGAUAGUGAACCAGUACCGUGAGGGAAAGGUGAAAAGCACCCCGGAAGGGGAGUGAAAUAGAACCUGAAACCGUGUGCUUACAAGUAGUCAGAGCCCGUUAAUGGGUGAUGGCGUGCCUUUUGUAGAAUGAACCGGCGAGUUACGAUUUGAUGCAAGGUUAAGCAGUAAAUGUGGAGCCGUAGCGAAAGCGAGUCUGAAUAGGGCGUUUAGUAUUUGGUCGUAGACCCGAAACCAGGUGAUCUACCCUUGGUCAGGUUGAAGUUCAGGUAACACUGAAUGGAGGACCGAACCGACUUACGUUGAAAAGUGAGCGGAUGAACUGAGGGUAGCGGAGAAAUUCCAAUCGAACCUGGAGAUAGCUGGUUCUCUCCGAAAUAGCUUUAGGGCUAGCCUCAAGUGAUGAUUAUUGGAGGUAGAGCACUGUUUGGACGAGGGGCCCCUCUCGGGUUACCGAAUUCAGACAAACUCCGAAUGCCAAUUAAUUUAACUUGGGAGUCAGAACAUGGGUGAUAAGGUCCAUGUUCGAAAGGGAAACAGCCCAGACCACCAGCUAAGGUCCCAAAAUAUAUGUUAAGUGGAAAAGGAUGUGGCGUUGCCCAGACAACUAGGAUGUUGGCUUAGAAGCAGCCAUCAUUUAAAGAGUGCGUAAUAGCUCACUAGUCGAGUGACACUGCGCCGAAAAUGUACCGGGGCUAAACAUAUUACCGAAGCUGUGGAUUGUCCUUUGGACAAUGGUAGGAGAGCGUUCUAAGGGCGUUGAAGCAUGAUCGUAAGGACAUGUGGAGCGCUUAGAAGUGAGAAUGCCGGUGUGAGUAGCGAAAGAUGGGUGAGAAUCCCGUCCACCGAUUGACUAAGGUUUCCAGAGGAAGGCUCGUCCGCUCUGGGUUAGUCGGGUCCUAAGCUGAGGCCGACAGGCGUAGGCGAUGGAUAACAGGUUGAUAUUCCUGUACCACCUAUAAUCGUUUUAAUCGAUGGGGGGACGCAGUAGGAUAGGCGAAGCGUGCGAUUGGAUUGCACGUCUAAGCAGUAAGGCUGAGUAUUAGGCAAAUCCGGUACUCGUUAAGGCUGAGCUGUGAUGGGGAGAAGACAUUGUGUCUUCGAGUCGUUGAUUUCACACUGCCGAGAAAAGCCUCUAGAUAGAAAAUAGGUGCCCGUACCGCAAACCGACACAGGUAGUCAAGAUGAGAAUUCUAAGGUGAGCGAGCGAACUCUCGUUAAGGAACUCGGCAAAAUGACCCCGUAACUUCGGGAGAAGGGGUGCUCUUUAGGGUUAACGCCCAGAAGAGCCGCAGUGAAUAGGCCCAAGCGACUGUUUAUCAAAAACACAGGUCUCUGCUAAACCGUAAGGUGAUGUAUAGGGGCUGACGCCUGCCCGGUGCUGGAAGGUUAAGAGGAGUGGUUAGCUUCUGCGAAGCUACGAAUCGAAGCCCCAGUAAACGGCGGCCGUAACUAUAACGGUCCUAAGGUAGCGAAAUUCCUUGUCGGGUAAGUUCCGACCCGCACGAAAGGCGUAACGAUUUGGGCACUGUCUCAACGAGAGACUCGGUGAAAUCAUAGUACCUGUGAAGAUGCAGGUUACCCGCGACAGGACGGAAAGACCCCGUGGAGCUUUACUGUAGCCUGAUAUUGAAAUUCGGCACAGCUUGUACAGGAUAGGUA